AGUGAACGCUGGCGGCAGGCCUAACACAUGCAAGUCGAGCGGCAGCGCGUCCGACCACCCUCGGGUGGUCGGAUGGCGGCGAGCGGCGGACGGGUGAGGAAUGCAUCGGAAUCUGCCUCGUUGUGGGGGAUAACGUAGGGAAACUUACGCUAAUACCGCAUACGACCUACGGGUGAAAGUGGGGGACCUUCGGGCCUCACGCGAUGAGAUGAGCCGAUGCCGGAUUAGCUAGUUGGCGGGGUAAAGGCCCACCAAGGCGACGAUCCGUAGCUGGUCUGAGAGGAUGAUCAGCCACACUGGAACUGAGACACGGUCCAGACUCCUACGGGAGGCAGCAGUGGGGAAUAUUGGACAAUGGGGGCAACCCUGAUCCAGCCGUGCCGCGUGUGUGAAGAAGGCCUUC
rnacentral:rRNA from 1 species